GACGAACGCUGGCGGCGUGCUUAACACAUGCAAGUCGAACGGAAAGGCCCUGCUUGCCGGGUACUCGAGUGGCGAACGGGUGAGUAACACGUGGGUGAUCUGCCCUGCACUUCGGGAUAAGCUUGGGAAACUGGGUCUAAUACCGGAUAGGAGCCAUCUUUAGUGUGGUGGUUGGAAAGUUUUUUCGGUGUAGGAUGAGCUCGCGGCCUAUCAGCUUGUUGGUGGGGUAAUGGCCUACCAAGGCGGCGACGGGUAGCCGGCCUGAGAGGGUGUACGGCCACAGUGGGACUGAGAUACGGCCCAGACUCCUACGGGAGGCAGCAGUGGGGAAUAUUGCACAAUGGGCGCAAGCCUGAUGCAGCGACGCCGCGGGGGGGAUGAAGGCCUUCGGGUUGUAAACUCCGUUCGCUAGGGACGAAGCUUUUUUGUGAAGGUACCUAGAUAAGAAGCACCGGCUAACUACGU
rnacentral:rRNA from 1 species